UUACGGUCACACCACGUUGAAAUACCGGUUCCCGUACAAUCACCGAAGUUAAGCAACGUUGAGCCUGGUCAGUACCUAGAUGGGUGACUGUUGAGGAAUACCAAGUGCUGUAA